UACGUAGGCAGCGAGCGUUGUUCGGAGUUACUGGGCGUAAAGGGUGUGUAGGCGGUUGUUUAAGUUUGGUGUGAAAUCUCCCGGCUCAACUGCGGGUCUGCAGUCGAUACGGGCAGGCUAGAGUUCGGUAGGGGGAGACUGGAAUUCCUGGUGUAGCGGUGAAAUGCGUAGAUAUCUGGAGGAAUACCGGUGGCGAAGGCGGCAUCCUGGACCGGCAUUGACGCUGAGGAGCGAAAGCCAGGGGAGCAAAGCGGG
rnacentral:rRNA from 1 species